CACGUAGGGGGCAAGCGUUGUCCGGAUUUAUUGGGCGUAAAGAGCUCGUAGGCGGCUUAGUAAGUCGGGUGUGAAACCUCCAGGCUCAACCUGGAGACGCCACCCGAUACUGCUGUGGCUUGAGUCCGGUAGGGGAGCGUGGAAUUCCUGGUGUAGCGGUGAAAUGCGCAGAUAUCAGGAAGAACACCAAUGGCGAAAGCAGCUCUCUGGGACGGUACUGACGCUGAGACGCGAAAGCGUGGGGAGCGAACAGG
rnacentral:rRNA from 1 species